GGGACAAAAUGGGAAUUUAAUAAUAUUAAACAAAGGUGAAUAGUAUCUUGAUGUGAUUUAAUUGGAGGGUUUGAGCUGGCUUUUGGAAUGAAACCGAGAGAAAGAGGGAGGGGGUUCUCAGGCGUGAAACAGAGAGGAAAGAAAGAAAGAAAAAGAGAAGAAGAAAGAAGAAGAGGAAGAGGAUUCGAGGAGGAAAGAGAUCCCGGUUACACUUCCAGCUGAAGGGAAAAACGUAGAUCUCCUUCUCCUCUACGCAAGGACCUCGAUUUCCAAAAAGAAAAAGGUAAAUGUCCAUCCCUAUCUAGUCUUUUGAUAACAUUAGGCUAUACAAAGGGUGAAUAUAGUCUAGAGGGGUCGGAUAAGGGUUGUAGAGGCGGUUAAAAGAGAAAGAAUCGGAUUUUGACAAAUUUUUCCGGCACUACGGAAAAACUGUGGCGAAGUCCCAACUUCGGCGAAUUAUUUAGGGGGUCAAACGACCUCCGAUAGCAAUGCAUGUUACCUCUUUGGAAUCCCCUAUGAGUGUAGAAUGUUAGGUAAAAAUUUCAUCAAAUCUGGAGUUUGGAAAGUGGAUCAAACCCGGGAUGAAGUAACCGGCUGUCGGUCCGGAUUACUGUUCAUCCGGGUGGAAAAUAAGGG
rnacentral:lncRNA from 1 species